rnacentral:rRNA from 1 species
GGGAUAACUAUUGGAAACGAUAGCUAAUACCGCAUAAGAGAGACUAACGCAUGUUAGUAAUUUAAAAGGGGCAAUUGCUCCACUAUGAGAUGGACCUGCGUUGUAUUAGCUAGUUGGUGAGGUAAAGGCUCACCAAGGCGACGAUACAUAGCCGACCUGAGAGGGUGAUCGGCCACACUGGGACUGAGACACGGUCCAG